UACGUAGGGGGCUAGCGUUGUCCGGAUUUAUUGGGCGUAAAGCGCGUGUAGGCGGCCAGAUAGGUCUGAUGUGAAAACUGGGGGCUCAACCUCCAGCUGUCAUUGGAAACCCUCUGGCUAGAGUCCGGAAGAGGAGAGUGGAAUUCCUGGUGUAGCGGUGAAAUGCGCAGAUAUCAGGAAGAACACCUAUGGCGAAGGCAGCUCUCUGGGACGGUAC
rnacentral:rRNA from 1 species